GUGGGGGAUAUUGCACAAUGGGCGAAAGCCUGAUGCAGCGACGCCGCGUGAGGGAAGACGGUUUUCGGAUUGUAAACCUCUGUCUUCGGGGACGAAAAUGACGGUACCCGAGGAGGAAGCCACGGCUAACUACGUGCCAGCAGCCGCGGUAAUACGUAGGUGGCAAGCGUUGUCCGGAAUUACUGGGUGUAAAGGGAGAGUAGGCGGGAUUGCAAGUCCGUUGUUAAAUCUAUCGGCUUAACCGGUAGCUGCGGCGGAAACUGUAGUUCUUGAGUGAAGUAGAGGCAGGCGGAAUUCCUAGUGUAGCGGUGAAAUGCGUAGAUAUUAGGAGGAACACCAGUGGCGAAGGCGGCCUGCUGGGCUUUAACUGACGCUGAGGCUCGAAAGUGUGGGGAGCAAACAGGAUUAGAAACCCUAGUAGUCC
rnacentral:rRNA from 1 species